UACAGAGACUGCGAGCGUUAUUCGGAUUCACUGGGCGUAAAGGGUGCGCAGGCGGCCAGAUGUGUGAGGCGUGAAAGCCCGGGGCUUAACCCCGGAAUUGUACCUCAAACUAUUUGGCUAGAGCAUUGGAGAGGGAAGCGGAAUUCACGGUGUAGCAGUGAAAUGCGUAGAUAUCGUGAGGAACACCAGAGGCGAAGGCGGCUUCCUGGACAAUUGCUGACGCUCAGGCACGAAAGCGUGGGGAGCAAAAGGG
rnacentral:rRNA from 1 species